CAAGCUAACUAUGCCGGACUGAACGUACCUGAUGCUGUCUGAUUAUAAGUACUGAGCAGGCCUGGGCCUGUCUAGUACUUGGAUGGGAGACUACUUUAGCAUCCCAGAUGCCAGAGGGA
rnacentral:rRNA from 1 species